CCAAGAUAUCAUACAAUGCACUUUAGUGCAUUCAGGAUUUCUAAGAGCGAGGAAGUCUUAAUAGUGAAAGACUGGACCAAAUUUGUGAUGGAGGAGCGCAGAGAAGUACUAGGGGCAGCAAUGAGAAGUGCAGCCCACGAUUAGGAGACAGGUUCAUCUGCAUGCUCCAACUUGAUGAAGGAGGAGAGCUACACAUGUUUUAUGUUAUUUUACCUGAGAGAGAGCAGCAAGAGUGAUUAGCUAGCUAGAAAUGAGUUUGAAGAUGAUGAUGUGCUACACUAUGAGUAUGAUGAUUAAAUAGCUAGUGUUGGUGGUAAUGACUAUGAUGAUUAUUAUUAGCUAGUGUUGGUGGUGAUUAGAUAGCUACCACAUCUAGUGUUGGUGGUGAUUAGCUAGCUAGAAUGAGUUUGAAGAUGAUGAUGUGCUACACUAUGACUAUGGUCAUUAAAUAAAUACUGUUGGUGGUAAUGACUAUGAUGAUGAUUAAAUAGCUUGUGCUGACGGAUUAGAUUCAAGUGGAGGCAACAUGUGGUGCACAUUGAAAGUACUACUAGUCCAAACUAGAUCAAGUUUGGAUUAGUAGUAUACUUUUGACAUGCACCACAUAUUGCCUCCACUUGAACCUAAUCCACCUUCAUUUGACACACUGUUAUGGACAUAAUGAUAUAAACCUCAUAAUUGGUAUUGUACCAAAAUUUGUAUAACGGCAUAUAAAUACACUAAAAAUAAAAAAAAGAGUACUAGUAGCGAUGGAUAGUAAACAUGCUACAACUAGCUAAAUUAGCAGCAGUGCGGGACAGAAUAACCGCUGUCGCUAUGUGUCUUAGCAGUAGCGCUAGUCGCACGCGCUACUGCUAAGUAAUAGAUGUAGCACCUUAUUGGUAACGCGGGGCAUUAAACUUGCGCUACUACUAGGGUUUUCCCUAGUAGUCUGCUAUAAAUUCUUCAACAUGCCUCCAUGGAAGCAUACCCCGACGUAUGGAAAUUUGGAAAACCCGAUUCAGAUGACCUACAUUUUCUAAUUUAGACAAACUGUAGGGGUGCCAUGAGAUCUGGGUGUGCUUUCUAAGAAGUUUGUGUGCUGAGUCAUGAUCAUGGAAAAGUGGAGUUCUAGGCAUAGUGUUCCACACUUUUGGUUUUGGAGCUGGAUGUUUAUAGAAUGAGAGUGAUUUGGUGCUAGAUUUAUUCCCCAAAACCUUCCUUAACUAUAUACCCAUCCAUCCGAUCAGAUAGUGGACUUGCCAUGCCCUUUUCAAAAAGGAGGGGCCAAUGGGAUGAGUACUGAUCAGCCGAAGCGAAUAGUAUAAGGAGCAAAGGGCCGGCGGAGCUAAGGAUAUGCAACGCCCUAUUGUGAUCCAAGAGGCCAUCACUAAUACCCCGGGACGAAUAUAUGGCCCUCCACUUGGAACAACAAAGCGACAGAGCCAAAUAGCAAUAUAGGCUGCAGUGUAGAGGCGCUCGUCUUGGAGACUAUUGAUAAAGAAUGUGUUGUUUAGACGAUUGUGGAAGUAAUCGCACCAUUCCCGAAAGCCUACAUUGCCGCUUUCGGAGAGUUUGUUCCAUAUGUCAAGGAGUUGUGGCAAAAAGUUGGGGUACAACAAUAGAGAAGGAUCCAGUUCAUGAGUAGGGGGUAUAAAUUCUUCAUACAUAUCACCAUCUAAGGGUAGCCCAGCCAUUUGGUUCAUAUCAAGAAGAGUGAUUGUGCAUUCACCACAGGGGAAUAAGAACGUGUUAGUGUUGGGAUCCCAGUGCUAUAACAAAGCCCUCGGAAGCGGGGGAGAUACAGAGUACUCACCCAAAGAGCAAUAAAUGGCUCCAUAGAUAUAGUCUGUGUUCUCUUCACUACCUUUCAAAUGCAUGGAAUAAUUCUUCAAAAUGUUAGUUCCCCAUUCAACGUACCCAGGGGGAGCUACUGAAUAUUCAACCUCGUGGAAUUCCUAACCUAAUCCUUUGGAUAUCAUGUGAGUCCCCAGGGUGACAGCUGUAUCGACUCUAGGAUGAGGAGCGACAGGAUAAUAGCACUGAGCUAUGAAAGAGCGGCCUGAUGUCCACCCUUGCCUAGAAUAUUCAGGAUUUCCUUGGGGUGUCUGUUGUUCCCUUAUCACAGGAUUGUACAGCAGAUUAGUAUCUGGUUCAAAAAGUUGCCUCUUAGCUAGCUGCAAUAGAGCCAUCCUAUGCACUUCAUCCGGCUCCAUCUAUAUGCAAGGAAAAUAUGCAUAUUGGUACAUGCACCAAACACUAUCGAAAGAUAAAACAACAAAAGAGAAAACACAAGAUAGAAAAAAAAAACUUACCAAGGUGGACGUGCCCAAGC
rnacentral:lncRNA from 1 species